rnacentral:rRNA from 1 species
GAUGAACGCUGGCGGCGUGCCUAAUACAUGCAAGUCGAGCGAACGGACGCGAAGCUUGCUUCUCUGAUGUUAGCGGAGGGCGGGUGAGUAACACGUGGAUAACCUACCUAUAAGACUGGGAUAACUUCGGGAAACCGGAGCUAAUACCGGAUAAUAUUUUGAACCGCAUGGUUCAAAAGUGAAAGACGGUCUUGCUGUCACUUAUAGAUGGAUCCGAGCUGUAUUAGCUAGUUGGUAAGGUAACGGCCUACCAAGGCAACGAUGCAUAGCCGAGCGGAGAGGGGGGUCGGCCACACGGGAGCGGGGACACGCACAUGGGUCCUACGGGAGGCAGCAGUAGGGAAUCUGCCGCAAUGGGCGAAAGCAUGACGGAGCGGGGCCGCGUGAGAUGUGGAGAUGUUCGGAUCGUAAAACUCGGUUAUGAGGGAAGAACAGAUUUGGAAGUAACUGUGGACAGCGUGACGGUACCGGAUCAGAAAGCCACGGCUAACUACGUG